CAAUUUUACCUACAUGUGAAACGGGUGUGUAUUAUUUUUGUUUUCUCUCAGUGACGGUUGUGAUGGUAAUAUCUGUCUUUCAUUGUUUACAUCUGUAAAUUACUGGACUGGUUGAAGCUCGUGCAUGCUUUGCAGUAACUUGAAUUUCUUUUCUUGCUUUCCUGUGUCUCAGUUCUUCCUAAUUUAUGGACGCCGCAUGUUUCGCCAGGUUUGGAGGGCUUGCACGAGUUAUCGUGAAGCUUUCGCCGCUCCUGCUGUCUUUGUAAACUUGAUGCCAUUUUGUAAUUGACCUUGUCAGUUGUCACAAGGAGCCUCAAUAAAGUGUGAGGUGAAAUAUUUUA